rnacentral:rRNA from 1 species
AUGGCUCAGAACGAACGCUGGCGGCGCGUUUAAGCAUGCAAGUCGAGCGGCAAGGGCCUUCGGGCCCCUAGAGCGGCGGACGGGUGAGUAACACGUGGACAAUCUGCCCCCCGGCCCGGGAUAGCCCAGGGAAACCUGGAUUAAUACCGGAUGAGACGGGACCCGCGAUGGCGGGACCCGGGAAAGGCGCUGCGGCGCCGCCGGGGGAUGAGUCUGCGUCCCAUUAGCUAGACGGCGGGGUAACGGCCCACCGUGGCGACGAUGGGUAGCCGGCCUGAGAGGGUGGACGGCCACAUUGGAACUGAGACACGGUCCAGACUCCUACGGGAGGCAGCAGCUAAGAAUCUUCCGCAAUGGGCGAAAGCCUGUCGGAAGCGACGCCGCGUGAACGAAGAAGGCCGUGAGGUUGUAAAGUUCUUUUCGGGAGGGGAACAACCGUGGCAGGGAAUGGCCGCGGGAUGACGUGAAUCCCGGAAUAAGCCCCGGCUAACUACGUGCCAGCCGCCGC